UACGGGGGGAGCAAGCGUUGUUCGGAUUUACUGGGCGUAAAGCGCACGUAGGCGGGCGAUUAAGUCAGGGGUGAAAUCCCGGAGCUCAACUCCGGAACUGCCUUUGAUACUGGCGAUCUUGAGUCCGGGAGAGGUGAGUGGAACUGCGAGUGUAGAGGUGAAAUUCGUAGAUAUUCGCAAGAACACCAGUGGCGAAGGCGGCUCACUGGCCCGGUACUGACGCUGAGGUGCGAAAGCGUGGGGAGCAAACAGG
rnacentral:rRNA from 1 species